UUAGGAAUCUUCCACAAUGGGCGAAAGCCUGAUGGAGCGACGCCGCGUGAGGGAUGAAGGCCUUAGGGUUGUAAACCUCUAAAAGAGGGACGAUAAUGACGGUACCUCUUGAAUAGCACCGGCUAACUCCGUGCCAGCAGCCGCGGUAAUACGGAGGGUGCAAGCGUUAUCCGGAAUCACUGGGCGUAAAGGGCGCGUAGGCGGUCUGUUAAGUCCAAUGUUAAAUCCCGGGGCUCAACCCCGGAUAAGCGUUGGAUACUGGCAGGCUAGACGGUUGGAGAGGCGAGUGGAAUUACCAGUGUAGCGGUGGAAUGCGUAGAUACUGGUAGGAACACCCAUUGCGAAGGCAGCUCGCUGGACAACACGUGACGCUGAGGCGCGAAAGUGUGGGGAGCAAACC
rnacentral:rRNA from 1 species